rnacentral:rRNA from 1 species
UGGGGAAUUUUGCGCAAUGGGCGAAAGCCUGACGCAGUAACGCCGCGUGGAGGAUGAAGGCCUUCGGGUCGUAAACUCCUGUCAGGGGGAAAGACAAUACCUGCCUUAAUAAGGUGAGUAUUAGACGGUACCUCCAAAGGAAGCCCCGGCUAAUUCCGUGCCAGCAGCCGCGGUAAUACGGAAGGGGCGAGCGUUGUUCGGAAUCAUUGGGCGUAAAGGGCGCGUAGGCGGUUGUGUUUGUCUACUGUGAAAGGCCACGGCUUACCUGUGGAGGUGCGGUAGAAACGGCACGACUUGAGGCUGGGAGGGGUUGGUGGAAUUCCCUGUGUAGCGGUGAAAUGCGUAGAUACGGGGGAGAACACUCGUGGCGAAGGCGGCCAACUGGCCCAGUCCUGACGCUGAGGCGCGACAGCGUGGGGAGCAAACAG